UACGUAGGGUGCGAGCGUUAAUCGGAAUUACUGGGCGUAAAGCGUGCGCAGGCGGUUCGUUGUGUCGGCGGUGAAAGCCCCGGGCUUAACCUGGGAAUGGCCGUCGAAACUGGCGAACUGGAGUGUGGCAGAGGGGGGUGGAAUUCCGCGUGUAGCAGUGAAAUGCGUAGAGAUGCGGAGGAACACCAAAGGCGAAGGCAGUGUCCUGGGGAGUACCUGACGCUCAGGUGCGAAAGCCAGGGGAGCGAACGGG
rnacentral:rRNA from 1 species